ensembl:snoRNA
AGCCUCUGAUGUACAUUUUAGAGUAGUGGACAGAAGGGAUUUCUGAAAACUCCGUACUGAGGCU